AGAUAAUCAGAAAUCCUAAGACAAGAGGAUGCAUGUUUAGUAAUUGAAGACAUCACUUGAAAGAAUGUAUUCCCUGGUGAGCAUCAUCUGACUCAGCAUCUACAGUUAGAAUAUGAAGGACAAAGAUGAACACACAGCAAAACCAGACACAGCACUUGAUAAAAAAUGGUUAAACCUUUGCAAUUUCAUAUAGAUCAACUAACUUCUAGGUGGCACGGUUUUCUGGUAAGAGGGAAGAAUUGGAUAAUGAGCAAAAUGAGAGCUGGCUGACAACUAUUUGGAGCUGUAGUACCUUGUAAUAUCAUGGCUAAACAGCUUUCUUCAAAGGAAAAACAAUAUGGUGAGAAGAGGGCCUGGCAUUGAGCCUUGAGGAACUUCAGAAAGAAAGAGAUAAGACUACCAACGACACCCAGAAGAAG